rnacentral:rRNA from 1 species
UCGUGGAGUGAUUUGUCUGCUUAAUUGCGAUAACGAACGAGACCUUAACCUGCUAAAUAGCCCGGCUCGCUUUGGCGGGUCGCCGGCUUCUUAGAGGGACUAUCGGCUCAAGCCGAUGGAAGUUUGAGGCAAUAACA